rnacentral:piRNA from 1 species
UAUUGUUGACUUUCAAUUAAA